UCCUGGUUGAUCCUGCCGGAGGCGACCGCUAUUGGAGUUCGAUUAAGCCCACUGCGAGUAAGAAAGAAAUUAGAUUCUUUGCAUACUGCUCAGUAACACGUGGAUAACCUGCCCUACACUGGGGGAUAAUCUUGGGAAACUGAGGAUAAUACCCCAUAGACCACUACGCCUGGAACGGUGAGUGGUUGAAAGCUCCGGCGGUGUAGGAUGGGUCUGCGGCGUAUCAGGUCGUAGGGGGUGUAAUGGACCUCCUAGCCAUCGACGCGUACGGGUUUGUGGGAGCAAUAGCCCGGAGACGGAUUCUGAGACACGAAUCCGGACCCUACGGGGUGCAGCAGGCGCGAAAACUUCACACUGCAGGAAACUGUGAUGAGGGAACUCCAAGUGACUGCACAAUGUGUAGCCUUUUCUUGAAUCUUAAUAGUUCUUGGAAUAAGGGCUGGGAAAGACCGGUGCCAGCCGCCGCGGUAAUACCGGCAGCUCAAGUGGUCGUCGCUUUUAUUGGGCCUAAAACGUCCGUAGCCUGUAUGGUAAAUCUGUGGGUAAAUCAACGAGCUUAACUCGUUGAACUCUGCAGAGACUGCCAGACUAGGGACCGGGAGAGGUAUGAGGUACUCUGGGGGUAGGGGUAAAAUCCUGUCAUCCUCAGAGGACCAACUGUUGCGAAGGCGUCAUACUGGAACGG
rnacentral:rRNA from 1 species